UCCAGAUUCCUACGGGAGGCAGCAGUGGGGAAUAUUGCACAAUGGGCGCAAGCCUGAUGCAGCCAUGCCGCGUGUGUGAAGAAGGCCUUCGGGUUGUAAAGCACUUUUAGCGAGGAGGAAGGGUGUGGUGUUAAUAGCACCAUACAUUGACGUUACUCGCAGAAGAAGCACCGGCUAACUCCGUGCCAGCAGCCGCGGUAAUACGGAGGGUGCAAGAAAGAUUAAUCGGAAUUACUGGGCGUAAAGCGCACGCAGGCGGUUUGUUAAGUCAGAUGUGAAAUCCCCGCGCUUAACGUGGGAACUGCAUUUGAAACUGGCAAGCUAGAGUCUUGUAGAGGGGGGUAGAAUUCCAGGUGUAGCGGUGAAAUGCGUAGAGAUCUGGAGGAAUACCGGUGGCGAAGGCGGCCCCCUGGACAAAGACUGACGCUUCAGGUGCGAAAGCGUGGGGAGCAAACAGGAUUAGAUACCCUGGUAAGUCCACGCUGUAAACGAUGUCGACUUGGAGGUUGUGCCCUUGAGGCGUGGUUGGCCGGAGCU
rnacentral:rRNA from 1 species